GGCCCACACAAGUGCUUGAGUUUAUGGUUCUUCGGGUCCUUCAAUCUUCUUGUUCCCUCUCAUGUUGCUCCACUCCGCUCCUGUCCUCCUACAAAACAUUAGGGCUUCCUUGUUCCUAUAGCAACCCCUCCUCAUCUCUCUAUCAGGGUGUAUAUACAUAGCUAGUCUCCAGGGUAUUCGUUCUCCAACUCAGCAAAGAUAUUGGCAAUUAUGUGCUUGUUAGGAGUGGGCCGGAGAUAAGAAAGAUGUGUCUUGUGUCUGAUUACUCUUGCUCUGUGUUCCUGGGAGAGGCUUGGGAGUUCUCGGGGGGGGGGGACUGUGCCCAACCCCGUUUCUUAAUCUAGUCGGGGUCCUGGUGGAAAUAUUGCACUUUUGCAUGUAUUGGAUUAUUCAUGCAUGUAAUAUUGAGUAAAUGGGAAUGUGGAAGAGCUCUUAUGUGAGGUGAUAGUUAUGAGCAUUAGGCACCACAAGCCCUCUUAAUUCCUUUUUUCCCUCUCUUUGGACAGUUUGAACAGGCUUUUCAGGGCAUGGACACCUCACACGCUCUAUUGUGUUGUAAAUGAGACAGAGUUUUGGUUUAAUACAGUGUCCAAUAAGGGUAAAAGGUGCUGGGUUUCAGCAAAAAUUUCAAGGUCGAAACCUCACUUUAAGCUCUUUCAGCAAUCACCCACACACACAUGUGCAGACACAUCAACACAUACAUGCACAUAAACCAUCUCAGCCAGAGCCAUGUGUUGAUGAGACAGGAGCGUGAGGGUUGUAUGUGCGUCGCUAAUGUAAUUCCAUCUCGCCAGAUGGCCUGUUUUUUGUUUUUUUUUUUGUUUUUUUUCUUCCAAAAACAUACUUUUUUUUCUUCCCCCAUCUUUUUUGAUCCUCUCUCAUUCCUCCUCUUCCUCCUGCACCUCUUGUUCCAGCUCUCUCAUCAUUCACACUUUCUCCUUCUUCUCACCUCUCCAACUUGUGUUUUUACAGCCUCACCUGUGCUUUUCUUCUUCUGCACUUAUUUAACAGUUCGUGGCCUCUCACUUACCCAUUGUGUCAUCUUAAGCAAGACUCAUUAUUAUCAGUCAAUCAGCGGCGAAGUCUCUUAUGUAGCAGUUCCGUCUCCACUCGAGUAUUUUGCGAUGUUGUUCCGCUCACUCAUGUACUCACAAACACAUGUCGAAGCCCCUGUUCAGCUGUUAUCUCUGUGGCUGUUUGAUCAGUCAGAUAGCGUGUGUGUCAGAUGUUAGACUGACAUGUUUCCUAUGCUCAGGGCUGUUCUCCAGAGGCACGGCGGUCAGAAAAGCUCAUUUGAUUGGACUGAUGCUGCAGGCUCAGAGCACAGGGCCCAGUCGAGUGAUGUCUGAGCUGAUUCUAAUGCACUGCAGCAUGUGUCAAACAUAGAGCGACACAGUGGUUGCAUUCCAAAACCAAGGAUACUGUACACACUCCCUGCUCUCCCCCCAUCUUUAUCUGCUGCCCUUGAGCAAACCACGUCAAGGCUCAUCAUCAUAGAGCCAGUCGGGAAAAUUAACUGCAAGGGUGUUUUCUGUUCUCCAGCUUGUCAUGAAAAUAGACCAUUAGGGCUGUAGCAUCA
ensembl:lncRNA